GAAGAAGAAAAAAGAAAGAAAAAAAAACAAUAAUAACUAUACUAUUCGGACUUAUCUCCUCUCUUACAUUCGGUGUCUUUUUAUUUUUGUUGUUAUUUUUCAUUAUAUAUAUCAUU
rnacentral:ribozyme from 1 species